rnacentral:rRNA from 1 species
AAGAACGAACGCUGGCGGCAUGCCUAACACACGCAAGUCGAACGAGACCUUCGGGUCUAGUGGCGCACGGGUGCGUAACGCGUGGGAACCUGCCUUUAGGUUCGGAAUAACUCAGAGAAAUUUGAGCUAAUACCGGAUAAUGUCUUCGGACCAAAGAUUUAUCGCCUUUAGAUGGGCCCGCGUUGGAUUAGCUAGUUGGUGGGGUAAAGGCCUACCAAGGCGACGAUCCAUAGCUGGUCUGAGAGGAUGAUCAGCCACACUGGGACUGAGACACGGCCCAGACUCCUACGGGAGGCAGCAGUGGGGAAUAUUGGGACAAUGGGCGAAAGCCUGAUCCAGCAAUGCCGCGUGAGUGAUGAAGGCCUUAGGGUUGUAAAGCUCUUUUACCCGAGAUGAUAAUGACAGUAUCGGGAGAAUAAGCUCCGGCUAACUCCGUG